rnacentral:rRNA from 1 species
CCUACGGGAGGCAGCAGUGAGGAAUAUUGGUCAAUGGGCGCGAGCCUGAACCAGCCAAGUCGCGUGAGGGAGGACGGCCCUACGGGUUGUAAACCUCUUUUGCCGGGGAGCAACGGGCGUCACGUGUGGCGCCCCUGCGAGUACCCGGAGUAAAAGCAUCGGCUAACGUCGUGCCAGCAGCCGCGGUAAUACGGAGGAUGCGAGCGUUAUCCGGAUUUAUUGGGUUUAAAGGGUGCGUAGGCGGUUCGGUAAGUCAGUGGUCAAAUUGAGGGGCUCAACCCCUUCCCGCCAUUGAAACUGGCGUUCUUGAGUGGAAGAGAAGUAUGCGGAAUGCGUGGUGUAGCGGUGAAAUGCAUAGAUAUCACGCAGAACCCCGAUGGCGAAGGCAGCAUGCCGGCUUCCGACUGACGCUGAAGCACGAAAGCGUGGGGAUCGAACAGGAUUAGAUACCCCUGUAGUC